UACGUAGGGCGCAAGCGUUGUCCGGAAUUAUUGGGCGUAAAGAGCUCGUAGGCGGUUUGUCGCGUCUGCUGUGAAAACCUGAGGCUCAACCUCGGGCUUGCAGUGGGUACGGGCAGACUAGAGUGCGGUAGGGGUGACUGGAAUUCCUGGUGUAGCGGUGGAAUGCGCAGAUAUCAGGAGGAGCACCGAUGGCGAAGGCAGGUCACUGGGCCGCAACUGACGCUGAGGAGCGAAAGCAUGGGGAGCGAACAGG
rnacentral:rRNA from 1 species